UGCUUGUGAAGUUGGUUGAUGUUCA
rnacentral:piRNA from 1 species